rnacentral:lncRNA from 1 species
UUUUGUUUCUGGGCUGCUUGCUAUCAGCAAAGUAGAGAGAUUUAAGGGAUCUUGCCGAGAUGCAAGCCUCAUUCCAAGGAAGCCAGAGCUCAGAAGACAUGGAACAAAUACAAUGAAAACAUAACUUGAGGUGGUCGGAAAAUGUCCCCUGAAUAUUUAUGUCAAUGUCCUACCUUAGUGAAUAUUACUUAAUACUGUGGCUCCUUUAAAGCAUGAGGCUGCCAUCAUGCUCUGUUAUUUUAAGAGAAAGAUCAACAGCAACAACAAUAAUAAUAAUUUAAAAAGCAGAGGAAGAAAGUAAUCCAAGAAGACACACGCAGAGCCUCUAAGAUCAUGAAGGAUGAUUAAAAGAACAAGUUGGGGAUGAAAAUGGGGAAUCGGAAAGCUUAUCAUCAGGUUAGUUUUGGAAGGUCAUCUGUGGCCUGGGCGGUGCCCCAUUAGGACUAGAUCAAAAGCAGGACAGUGAUGCAAUCAGCUGUUUGUAUACAGAUGCUGGCCUCCAAAUCCCCACAUGGGAACAUCUGCUGGGGACAACCACUUAACAAAUAAGCAGGCAAUUAGGUAGCAGAUCCAUCUGUGCCGAGAGCAUGGGACCACCAGCGGCGGGAAGGCUGCAGCAGAGGGGAGAGCCAUGCUGGGAAGAAUGCUUUUGUGUUUGCGCAAGAGUCACACUAUCUAAGGCAGGAGAAAGGAGAGAGGACCAGGUGCAGAAGUCAGGAGAGAAGAUCAUUUUCUGCUUGUUCUGGGGCUAGUUCCAUUUAAAACCUCUAAACCUACCACUGGAUUGGUGGCAGAAUAAUAGCGAUCAUUAUAAAGCUAUAGUAUUUAUCCC